AUAUACAGUGUCUGGUUGUCUUAUAAGCUGCUCCCCAUAAUCUCUCCGGUAAGACGCUGAUGUAGGAGCGACAUGAUGCUGAAGAGCCAAGUUUCUUCUCUCUCCCUGAAGACCAUAAGCCCUGUAUUCCUUCUCACUCAGGUAUAAAUCAUGACGAAUGUCCUCUCUCCGAGUAAAUACCAACUCUCCAUAUCCAAUUUGCUGAUCCCUUUCAUGAGAUAAAACAGCACAUGUUCUAGCAUUGGUAUAAGGGUCUCUAGCAGAUGCUUCUCUAUCUGAAGGAGGCCUUGCUUCCCUUGCUCUAUCAUGAGCCUCCCUAUUUUCAUAGCGUACAGGGAUUCGACCCCCUGUCCUUGAUGGGGAGAUGGUAGGCAGUGCAGUUGAAUGAACUGCAACUGGUCGGAAAAGUUCUGUGAGCUUCCGAACCUGAAAGGGAAAUUUCAGGUUUCAUUAAUGCUAAAAUAUGAAAGGAAACAAUGAACACCAAACUGCCAGAUAUGAAAACGAUUCCUCACUUGUCUAGCAGUAAGUUCAGUUUUAAAUUUGUGUUUUUCAUUAUAAUUUUCCUUGAUUGCCUUCUUGAAAAUGCUCUCUGCCAGAGGAAAACAAUCAGCUUGGACACUGAACCGCACCUGAAAUUGAAGUCAUCAGUACACAAAUCUCUUAAAAGUAAGGAGAAAGAGGAGUUAUAAUUGAAGGAAGAUGGCUAUAACAGAAUGGUACCUGAGCAGGAAAAGCCCCACC
rnacentral:lncRNA from 1 species